GGAAUUUUGGACAAUGGGCGCAAGCCUGAUCCAGCAAUGCCGCGUGAGUGAAGAAGGCCUUCGGGUUGUAAAGCUCUUUUGUCAGGGAAGAAACGGAUUUUUCUAAUACAGAGAUCUAAUGACGGUACCUGAAGAAUAAGCACCGGCUAACUACGUGCCAGCAGCCGCGGUAAUACGUAGGGUGCAAGCGUUAAUCGGAAUUACUGGGCGUAAAGCGUGCGCAGGCGGUUUUGUAAGACUGUCGUGAAAUCCCCGGGCUCAACCUGGGAAUGGCGAUGGUGACUGCAAGGCUAGAGUUUGGCAGAGGGGGGUAGAAUUCCACGUGUAGCAGUGAAAUGCGUAGAUAUGUGGAGGAACACCGAUGGCGAAGGCAGCCCCCUGGGUCAAAACUGACGCUCAUGCACGAAAGCGUGGGGAGCAAACAGGAUUAGAUACCCUAG
rnacentral:rRNA from 1 species